AGGAUUAACGCUGGCGGCGUGCCUAACACAUGCAAGUCGAACGAGGUAGCAAUACCUAGUGGCAGACGGGUGAGUAGCGCGUGGUCAACCUACCGUUGAGUGGGGGAUAACUAGCCGAAAGGUUAGCUAAUACCGCAUACGUCUCCGAGGGGCAUCCCUUGGUGAUAAAAGGAGCAAUCCGCUCGAUGACGGGACCGCGUCCCAUUAGCUAGUUGGUGGGGUAACGGCCUACCAAGGCAUCGAUGGGUAGCUGGUUUGAGAGAGCGACCAGCCACACUGGGACUGAGAUACGGCCCAGACUCCUACGGGAGGCAGCAGUGAGGAAUUUUUCCGCAAUGGGCGAAAGCCUGACGGAGCGACGCCGCGUGUGGGAAGAAGGCCUUCGGGUCGUAACCACUGUCGAAGGGGAGAUAAUGACGGUACCCUUGGAGGAAGCCCCGGCUAACUACGCGCCAGCAGCCGC
rnacentral:rRNA from 1 species